GGAUGUAAGGUGAUGUGGCUCCAUCUGUCACUCCAUUGUCUGUCAGUCACUCCACUGUCAUGAGGGUUGACCUGCUGAGCUGGCUGGAAGGGAAGCAGCCUCCCUUUCCCUCACAGCUCCAUGUCCACCACAGCAGAGUUGAGCAACACAGGACUGUUACCCUGGGAAGGGAGAAAGUAGCUUUGCUCCUUGUCUAGAACCCCUAACACCUUCUCACUGUGCAGGUUUGCUCUGCUGGGGCGGUUUAGCCAGGUAAAUAUUGUUGCCUAGUUUUCUGUUCUGUUUUGAGACAGGGUCUCUCUAGAUAGCCUAGGCUGUCCUAGAAC
rnacentral:snRNA from 1 species